AAAUUGAAGAGUUUGAUCAUGGCUCAGAUUGAACGCAGGCGGCAGGCCUAACACAUGCAAGUCGAACGGUAACAGGAAACAGCUUGCUGUUUCGCUGACGAGUGGCGGACGGGUGAGUAAUGUCUGGGAAACUGCCUGAUGGAGGGGGAUAACUACUGGAAACGGUAGCUAAUACCGCAUAAUGUCGCAAGACUAAAGAGGGGGACC
rnacentral:rRNA from 1 species